rnacentral:rRNA from 1 species
CAUGCAAGUCGAACGGUAGCAGGCCCGCAAGGGUGCUGACGAGUGGCGGACGGGUGAGUAAUGCGUAGGAAUCUGCCUAGUAAUGGGGGAUAACCUAGGGAAACUUAGGCUAAUACCGCAUAAGCCCUAAGGGGGAAAGCAGGGGAUCGUAAGACCUUGCGUUAUUAGAUGAGCCUACGUCGGAUUAGCUAGUUGGUGAGGUAACGGCUCACCAAGGCGACGAUCAGUAGCUGGUCUGAGAGGAUGAUCAGCCACACUGGGACUGAGACACGGCCCAGACUCCUACGGGAGGCAGCAGUGGGGAAUCUUGGACAAUGGGCGCAAGCCUGAUCCAGCCAUGCCGCGUGAGUGAUGAAGGCCCUAGGGUUGUAAAGCUCUUUCGGCGGGGAAGAUAAUGACGGUACCCGCAGAAGAAGCCCCGGCUAACUUCGUGCCAGCAGCCGCGGUAAUACGAAGGGGGCUAGCGUUGCUCGGAAUCACUGGGCGUAAAGCGCACGUAGGCGGUUUCUUAAGUCAGGGGUGAAAUCCUGGAGCUCAACUCCAGAACUGCCUUUGAUACUGGGAGACUUGAGUUCGGGAGAGGUGAGUGGAACUGCGAGUGUAGAGGUGAAAUUCGUAGAUAUUCGCAAGAACACCAGUGGCGAANGCGGCUCACUGGACCGGAACUGACGCUGA